rnacentral:rRNA from 1 species
GAUGAACGCUGGCGGCGUGCCUAAUACAUGCAAGUCGAGCGAAUGGAUUAAGAGCUUGCUCUUAUGAAGUUAGCGGCGGACGGGUGAGUAACACGUGGGUAACCUGCCCAUAAGACUAGGAUAACUCCGGGAAACCGGGGCUAAUACCGGAUAACAUUUUGAACCGCAUGGUUCGAAAUUGAAAGGCGGCUUCGUCUGUCACUUAUGGAUUGACCCGCGUCGCAUUAGCUAGUUGGUGAGGUAACGGCUCACCAAGGCAACGAUGCGUAGCCGACCUGAGAGGGUGAUCGGCCACACUGGGACUGAGACACGGCCCAGACUCCUACGGGAGGCAGCAGUAGGGAAUCUUCCGCAGUGGACGAAAGUCUGACGGAGCAACGCCGCGUGAGUGAUGAAGGCUUUCGGGUCGUAAAACUCUGUUGUUAGGGAAGAACAAGUGCUAGUUGAAUAAGCUGGCACCUUGACGGUACCUAACCAGAAAGCCACGGCCAACUACGUGCCAGCAGCCGCGGUAA